GACCCCACUGGAAAUCGGACUGUCCAACUCACCUGACAGCCACUCCCACAGCCGCUGGAACUCUGGCCCAAGGCUCUCUGACUCCUUCCCAGAUCUUCUUGGCUUAGCGGCUGAAGACUGACGCUGCCCGAUCGCCUCGGAAGCCCCCUAGACCAUCACGGACGCCGAGCUUCGGGUAACUCUCACAGUGGAAGCUACUUGGAAGGCUGAGGCAGGAGAAACGCUUGAACCCGGGAGGCAGAGGUUGCAGAGAGCCGAGAUCACACCACUGCACUCCAGCCUGGGCAACAGAGUGAGACUCCCUCUCAAAGAAAAAAAAAAAAGAAAAAUCACGUAAUCAACAGCAACAACACUUAAGAAGAAAACAGAUUCGGUUUACCUGAGACUCAACUUCAAUCCCUUGGACAGAAGAGUGCUAUGCUAGGUGCCAGAAACACAACUACAGAUUUCUACCUGGUGCAUGGCCAUCGCUCAUGAAGACUACAACUUCCAGCUUCCUUUGAAGAAAAAGAGGACUUGAUGGCAUUGUCGCUAAGUAAGAAAU
ensembl:lncRNA LINC-ROR long intergenic non-protein coding RNA, regulator of reprogramming